rnacentral:rRNA from 1 species
AUGGAUUGAUGCCUUCAGGACUCUGACACAGGUGCUGCGUGGGUGUCGUCACCUCUUGUUGUGAAAUGUUGGGUUAAGUCCCGCAACGAGCGCACCCCUUAUGCUUUGUUGCCCUCGGUUCGGCCGGGAACUCAAAACUGACUGCCAGUGAUAAAAUGAAGGAAGGUGGGGAUGACGUCAAGUCAUCAUGGCCCUUACGAGUAUGGCUACACACGUGCUACAAUGGAACAUACGAAGAGAAGCGACCUCGCGAGAGCAAGCCGACCUCAUAAAAUGCGUCUCAGUCCGGAUUGCAGUCUGCAACUCGACUCCAUGAAGUCUGAAUCGCUAGUAAUCAUAAAUCAGAAUGCUACGGUGAAUACGUUCCCGGGUCUUGUACCGACCGA